rfam:Xenorhabdus vietnamensis strain DSM 22392 Xvie_5, whole genome shotgun sequence.
AUAAAGGUUAGCUCACAUGAUUCACUCUAUUCUUCUACUAAGCCUACUACUCGUUGCCUUUAAUGUGCGCGGUAUGCUGGUGGAUGAAAAACAGAGUUAAGUUAACCUUCAUCAGAAACAAAAACCCGCGCACGGCGCGGGUUUUUUU